rnacentral:lncRNA from 1 species
UAUUCUUUCUCAACUUCCUCCUUUGUAAGAAGACAGUCCACUAUACUGAGAGAGUGAUCUUGGCAGAUUCUGGGUUUCCAAACCUUGAAGUUGUGACAUAUCAAAUAGCUUUCCUAGCGUACAAACAUCACCAACUAUUUUGUAGAAUUAUAAUAGGAUUUGUAUUAGGUUUUAGUAUUAUUAGGUUAGUUUUCAAUGUAUAGUUUUUCCUUUUUUAGUGUGGAUAGUAUUAUAAUCCUAGUCCUAAUAGAAUUUUAACUUGUAGAUUUGUAGCUCAAGCUUCCUCUUCUAUAUAAGGGAGGUAUAUACAUACAAAUUAUUAUCAAGUUAUCAUUCAUUCACAAAUCUGCAUAAUAUCAGAGUCUGGUUCGGUGUGAUCGGAAAGAGAAGAAGCUGGAGAGGCUGGGGGGAAUGAAGAGAGAUACUUACAUAACACUGCAGCGUGGCGAAGUAGCCAGAAAUGGAAACCGUUUUGGGGCAGGAGUUGUGGGUACGGAGAGAGUGUGAUUGGGUGUGCUGAUAGCGAUGGGAACCACAAUUAUUGGCCGCUGAUGAAAGAUAUGUAAAAGAUCCGAACGAAUUUUGGAUGGUUAAGAUUUCGAACAAGUGAGUCUUGUCGAGCAAGCUAGUAGUUGUUCCCUCUGUUAUUCUACCAAGUGUCAUUUGUGGGGUCGACCAUCCUUUUUUGUCUUGGGGUUUGAAUUUCCAAUUUUUUUAUAACUUUUUUUUAAAUCAAGCAUCAUCACAUUUUAAUACAGUAUCGAGAGGCACGCUGCUUAAAAAGCAUUAACAAGUCUUGUUAACAUGGAGGUACACUCCACAAGCGGAGCUACAUAGAGACAACUGCUCUGUUCAAAAGAUGGAACCUCUUAUAACCGCACACCAAUCCACAAGGAUAACAGAAAAUAAAACUACCUAGAAAAGAAGUCAGCCAUUCAAACGAAACGAACUACCAACUAGAAAAUAAAAAGUAAUGUCUAUGCUGAAAAGAACUAAAAGGAAACCUAGCAAGUUUGGGUGCACCCACGCUUUAUUUGAAACCGCUAAAUGAGGUUAGGAUCUUAAUUGUUUUGGUAAUCUCCUCUAAUUGCUUUCAAGAAUGCUCAAGCUGCCAAAGAUAAAGAUGGACAAGUCUCUGGUGCAAAAGGAGACGAGCAACCCGUAGAUAAAGUUGAGAAGUAUGAGAAGGACAACAAGACUGCAAUAAGCAUCCUCCUGAAUCACAUGACUAAUCCCAUUUUUUAUCUCUUGUUUGUCAUGUCAUUUGAAAAAGAGAUAUGGGAAUUAUUGGAGAGGAAAUAUGAUGCUGAUAAUGCAGGGAGGAAAAAGUAUGACGUUGGAAAUUGGCUGAAAUCCACGCUGAAGGUAUAAAAAUGUGUGAAAUUCUUCAAGCUAAUGUUUUGAUUAAAAAAUUGCCAGACUCCUGGGAUAACUAUAAAAUGAAGCUCAAACAUAAGAAGAAACCUAUGUCAUUAGAAGAGUUAGUAGGGCACAUGAAGAUUGAGGAAGCAAAUCGUCAGAAGGACAAGCAAAUCGUCAGAAGAGGCUGAGGUCUGACAGGGGUGAAGAGUACAGUUCAACGUUUCUCAAAUAGGUCUGUGAACAAGUAGCUAUAAUCCAUGAAACGAUUGCUCCUUAUUCCCCUCAACAAAAUGGUAUAGCGAAGGAAAGACAGAACUUUAAAAAAUAUGAUGAAUGUUAUGCGGAUUAGUUAAGGUGCUCCUCUUAAUCUUUGGAGAAAAGCUGCUUUGGCAGCAACUUACAUUCUGAACAGAGUCCGUUAUAAGAAGCUUGAUAAAACUCCAUAUGAACUCUGAAAAGGUUAUUCACCUAACCUUUUUUUUUUUUGCAAGUGUGAGGGUGUUUAGUUAAAGUUGGCUUGAUGGAUCUAAAGAAAUCACUUCUUGGACUCAAGACCUUUGAUGCUAUGCUUUUUGGUUAUGCUACUAACAGUGCUGCCUAUCGUUUUAUGAGAUUAAAUGAUAAGUCUAUGUGUGAGUACAGAGAUGCUGAGUUUUUAGAAGAUAUGUUUCCUUGUAAACCCACACCAAGUAAGAGGGAUGGGAAGGAACCUGAAGAAGGAAGACAAAGUGGUCCUAUUUUUUGCUCUGGAAACUCACAAAAAGAACUAGAUGAUGAGUUGAGAAGAAGCAAACGACAAAGAGUGGCCAAGAGUUUUGGAGAUGACUUCAUCGCCUCUUUCCUCAUGGUAUAGGAAAACUUUGAAAUGUUAAAUGAAUUGUCAUCUAAUGUUUUUUUAUCUGGACCAGAACCAACAACAUACGAAGAAGCUAUGAACUUGUUGGAAGCAAGCUUCUGGAAGGAACCCGAUGACAGUGAAAUAGACUCCAUGUCCAAGCAUAUUUGGGAACUGGUAGACUUGCCAAAGUGUAAUGGUUCUGAUACAUGUGGUAUGAGAAAUUUAAGAGGUCGUUUGUGCGGGUGAAUUCGUAGGAAGAGAAUUCAAAUAGCUAGAGAAUAUGAGGGUCAUGCUAUUUCAAGAAAUAGAAUGUUUGGUUGUGUCAUUUUAGGUGAUUGUUGGGACUAGAGAAUUCAAAAAUUAAAUGAAAUGGAAUGAAUUCUCCCAAAAUCCCCUUCCUAACUUAGUGAUUUCAAUAUGAGCUCAAAAUCUCUUGGGUCCCACAUCAAGAAUUCAAAUCUCUAACAUUCUCCCAUAAUUAAUUGUGAUCCAAACAAUCUAUUUGACAAAAUCUCUAACUUAGAGAUUUUAGAGACCAAAUCACCCAAAAUCACUCAAAACAAUCACUUGCACAAACAACCCCUAAUAGUACUAUUGUUGAAUUUGGAUUCAAAGCUAAUGGUUCUGAUACAUGUGUUUAUACCAAGUGGUUUUGAAAUGAAUUAGGGGUCGUUUGAUAUGGAUGCUAUCUAAAAUAAAAUCACCCAAUAUCGUGAUAUUCGAGAUAUCUCCGUGUUUCGGAGCGCAAAUACCAUAUAUUCGAAGAUAUCGAUAUCACAAAACUGUGAUAUUCAAUACUCUCGGUUUGGGAGAAUAUUGAAUAUCACCCCAAUAUUAUUUGCAACGGACGAAAAUACCCUAAUUUUAUGGUCUUCCACAAGGACAAAAUGGUAACUUUAUCUUAGUCAUUAUUAUUACAAGUCCAUCUCUCAUUCUCUUUCCUUCAUUAUUGUUCCAAGCCCCACCACCCAUUAUCUUUCCUUCUUGCAUUCUAACCAAACAAGAAUUUAGUAAAUUAACACAUCCAAUAUCAAUAUCAUCAAAUAUCACGAUAUCUCAAAUAUCAUGAUAUUCCAGAUAUCGUCUACCAAACGAUGCCUUAGUAAUCCUUUGUCUCUAUAUGAUGACAUGUUGAUCUUUAGCUCUAACUUAUCUGUCAUUGAUGAUACUAAAGCUUUCUUGUCAUCCAAGUUUGAGAUGAAAGAUCUAGAUGCGACUGACGUGAUACUUGAAAUCAGGGUUACCAAAUCACAAGAUGGUUCCACUCUUAGUCAACAACAUUACAUAGAUAAGCUACUAUCUUUAGUUUUAGAAUAUAAUCACAAUUCAGUGAGCACACCCUUUGACUCUAACUUCAUCUUAAGAAAAACCUAGGAUUGGCUAUUGAGCAAGCUAAAUAUGAUAAGAUUAUUGGAACUCUUAUGUUUCUCACUAACUGUACAAGACCAGAUGUAUCUUUUGCUGUCAACAGACCUAGCAGGUACACCAGUAACCCUAGUGAAGAACACUGGAGGGCUCUGACUCAGGUCCUAAGAUACCUAAAAGGUACUGCAAAUUGGAGCUUGAGAUACACUAGACAUCCAUCUGUACUGGAAGGGUAUUGUGAUGCCAACUGGGUGACCAGCAAAGACGAUGUAAACUCAACUAGUGAAUUUGUCUUCACCUUGGGAGGAGCUGCAGUUGCCUGGAAGUCCACAAAACAAACCUACAUAGCAAAGUCCACCAUGAAAUCAGAAUUCAUAGCUCUUAAUAUAGCUAGUCAAGAAGCAGAAUGGCUUAGAUGUCUUCUUUCUGAAUUUCCAUAUUGGGAAAAGCCAUCUCCAUCAGUCUCAAUGCUGUGUGACUCACAGGUAGUCAUCCAUGUAGCCAACAGUUCAGUCUACAAUGGAAAGAAAAGGCACUUGAGGAUUCGACAUGAAUUUGUUAGAAAUCUGCUGGAGAAUGAAGUAAUCUCUCUAAACUACAUAAAGUCUGAGAGGAACCUAGCAGAUCCCUUAACCAAUGAUUGUGAAGAAAAAUGGUACUAGAAAGUGCUAAAGAAAUGGGAUUUUGGUCCCAGAGUUGAUGAAUUCAAGAUGGAUACCUGAGCUUAUACUGAGCAAAAUGGUCAAACGAAAUCUUAGAAAGAAUCAAGUUGAAAUGAAUUCCUGAGAAGAAGUGAUAAUCGAGCACUCUUCUGAAUUCAUAAAAUUGGAAAGAUCUAAACUGAGGAUUCCUGAGAAGAAGUGAAAUAAGCACUCUUCUGCAUCCUUGAAGCUGAAUAGUCAGAGUCCAAAAGAAGGGAUGACUACAUGAACUUAGUGACAUAAUACAAAUCAUAAAUCUGCAGGUUGGUCGUUGAGUGAUCUGGUGAUCUGCAGAACCCCGAUCAUAGAAAUUAAUGGAGUCUAUGACUCCUUGAGGAACAUAAGCUGCAAAUUACAUUUUUGUUGGAAACAACUUCAGACUGAGAGUCAAUGGUUCAAGGCUAAGUCCACCACUCUCAUUUGCUCUGAAGAUUUCUUGCAUUACAGGAUAAGUUCAAGUCAUUCUGAAACUUAACUGCUACGUGUAAAUUGCGUAUAGAACAUUGAGGGACAGAACUGCACUUGUGGGGGAUUGUUGGAAGAAUUGCAGUUCAAUCGUCAAAACGUUGUGUUUUAUUUAAUUGCUUUUCCCAAUGGUUAGUUGUCGAUAUCUGGGAAAAACUACGUUGAGUUAGUUCCUGGAAUCAAGGGCCUCGAUCCUUCUCUUUGUUGCUUUCUGUUCCAUGAUGAUGAUGAUCAGGAGAAGAUCUUGGUUGUUUGCUGAACGAUCUACUGCCUAUAAAAGGCAAUCCAUUUCACUACAGAAGCAUUCAAUCGAAUACCAAUCUCUUCUCCCUUUUUGAAUCCACUGUUCUUAGUUUAAGUUCCAACUUGCAACCUACAUCAUCAUAGGUUGUAAGCAUACUGUGAUUAACCUUCAGUUGCUUUGAUGUAUUGCUAUUUCGGAGAAUUUUACUUCAAAAGCAGUGCUUACACAUGAUCACAAUUUGAGUUGCUUUUUCGAGUUAUUUUGCUGGUUUAUUGUUCUGAUUGAUAAUUCAUUGUUCGAUGUGAUCUUUGUGAUUUAGUGGUUGUAGAUUGUAAUAGUUUCUAACAGCAACGACAUGCCCAAAGUCCAAUUUGAAAGCAAGUUUUUGUUUCUCUAUUUUUCCAAAGUGAAAACAGAGCAGACCCAGAUAGCAGUGAUGAAUUGAGUUGUGUACCGUGCAACCAAGGUAAGCAGAGACGACAGUAAAAAAAGCAGAAGGAAGAACUGAAACCCACCCAACACUUGUGUAGUUGUGUUUGCAGAGAAGAGAAAGCAAAAAGGAGAAGAUGGAAACCGUAGCCCCCCUCCUCCUCUCCAUUGAUGACAUUAUUAUUAUAUUAUUAUAGUUAUUAUAGCUGCAGCAACUCCACCACCAAAAUUCUGGCCAAUUAGCCCCCAUACUCUGCAACUUAGCACAGCUAAAAGACAAACAACGUAUGUAUUAGCAACAGUGUAAUAAAUUUGGUGAGAGCUCAGUCUCACCAAAUCCCCAUUUAAUGUUAUCAUCAUAUGUGUUUAUUUUCCCUUGUGUCUAAAGGGAAGUUGUGAAGUUGCAAUGCCAACCUAACUACAUUGACUAAUAAUAAGCUAAGUCUGUGUCUUUCUCGUAAGUCAUCACUUGGAAUUUCACAGGCAGCCUUUACAGCAAGUUUUCCUGUUGACUCAACAAAGUAAGCCUUCAGGUUGACUCAACAAUUGUUAUCUCCAUUCUCCACAAUCCUCACUCAGGAGAUGUUGGGCAUCAUGCCUGUACGGAGGAACUUGGACACCUUUAUGACGGAAAAUUGAAAUUAAGAAUGUGGUGGCAGAUGUUUGAGCCAAAAUCGAGCUGCGUAAUGACUUGGUGACCAGCUGCAACCAGACGGUGGCUUUCACCGGAGGAAUUCACAGUAGCGGAUCUGGAAUCUUGUAUCUGUAGUAUUGAUCCACUUGAUUUAAAAAUUAAACCCAAAACCCUAUAUCUUUAUUAUUGAUCAGUACUGGGCCUCGGGCCUUAUACUUUAAAUCUUUUACUAGGUGAAAACAACAUUUCAUUCAAAAGAAACAGAGCACAACCCACACCGAGAAUCAUGAACAGAACGAAGUAUAACCUGUUAAUCAGCGAUUAUCAAAUCGCCCAAUGACGAACAGAUAGCGACGCGCUCGGGAGUACACCCUAAAUGUGCAGCCAGCUCGGAAAGCCCAAUCCUUCCUACGAGCAAAACCUUUAUUCGAUGAAAUCAUAUUACUAACAAAUAAAAAUUGACCUUUCAGUCAAGAGUAUUUGAUCAUUACCUUUAACAUCCGGCUGACCGAUGCCUUUCAAUAUAACCCUUUAAUGGAAGAGUUUCAUUCUUCUUGAUAAUUAUGGCUGGAAACGUGAAGGCGAAAAAAACAGAGAGGUAGAGAGUUGCAUUUUGUUUAAUUUAGGAGAGAGAUACUAAGUUGAGAAGAGAUAAGAAAGAUAGAGAGAAUCAGAACUUUCAGUGUUGAUCAAUCUGAUGGAGAUGCAAUCAGAUUUUAAUUCGGUGAAAAUUAAUUUAUUAUUUAAUUAGUUUA